rnacentral:rRNA from 1 species
GAUGAGCGCUGGCGGCGUGCCUAAUACAUGCAAGUCGAGCGAACAGACGAGGAGCUUGCUCCUCUGACGUUAGCGGCGGACGGGUGAGUAACACGUGGAUAACCUACCUAUAAGACUGGGAUAACUUCGGGAAACCGGAGCUAAUACCGGAUAAUAUAUUGAACCGCGUGGUUCAAUAGUGAAAGACGGUUUUGCUGUCACUUAUAGAUGGAUCCGCGCCGCAUUAGCUAGUUGGUAAGGUAACGGCUUACCAAGGCAACGAUGCGUAGCCGACCUGAGAGGGUGAUCGGCCACACUGGAACUGAGACACGGUCCAGACUCCUACGGGAGGCAGCAGUAGGGAAUCUUCCGCAAUGGGCGAAAGCUUGACGGAGCAACGCCGCGUGAGUGAUGAAGGUCUUCGGAUCGUAAAACUCUGUUAUUAGGGAAGAACAAAUGUGUAAGUAACUAUGCACGUCUUGACGGUACCUAAUCAGAAAGCCACGGCUAACUACGUG